UACGUAGGGGGCUAGCGUUGUCCGGAUUUAUUGGGCGUAAAGAGCGUGUAGGCGGCUUCACAGGUCUGCUGUGAAAACUCGAGGCUCAACCUCGAGAUGUCGGUGGAAACCGUGUGGCUAGAGUCCGGAAGAGGAGAGUGGAAUUCCCGGUGUAGCGGUGAAAUGCGCAGAUAUCGGGAAGAACACCCGUGGCGAAGGCGGCUCUCUGGGACGGUACUGACGCUGAGACGCGAAAGCGUGGGGAGCGAACAGG
rnacentral:rRNA from 1 species